rnacentral:rRNA from 1 species
GGAAUAUUGUACAAUGGGCGCAAGCCUGAUCCAGCCAUGCCGCGUGAGUGAAGAAGGCCCUAGGGUUGUAAAGCUCUUUCGCCCGCGAAGAUGAUGACGGUAGCGGGAGAAGAAGCCCCGGCUAACUCCGUGCCAGCAGCCGCGGUAAUACGGAGGGGGCGAGCGUUGUUCGGAAUUACUGGGCGUAAAGGGCGCGUAGGCGGCACAUCAAGUCAGGGGUGAAAGGCCUGGGCUCAACCUGGGAACUGCCUUUGAAACUGGCGUGCGGGAGUCCGGGAGAGGUGAGCGGAAUUCCCAGUGUAGAGGUGAAAUUCGUAGAUAUUGGGAAGAACACCGGUGGCGAAGGCGGCUCACUGGCCCGGUACUGACGCUGAGGCGCGAAAGCGUGGGGAGCA